AAAACAGUACUAACCACGUUGAAAUCGGGUUUCGUAAACAGCGCACUGUAUACGAUAAAACUAAGUUCGUUGUCGACGAAACCUGCAUAUAACGUGGAAUAAGCAACUA
rnacentral:pre_miRNA from 1 species